rnacentral:rRNA from 1 species
UACGGGGGGAGCAAGCGUUGUUCGGAUUUACUGGGCGUAAAGGGCGCGUAGGCGGCCACCGCAAGUCGGUUGUGAAAUCUCUGGGCUUAACCCAGAAAGGUCAACCGAUACUGCGGGGCUAGAGUGCAGAAGGGGCAACUGGAAUUCUCGGUGGUAGCGGUGGAAAUGCGUAGAUAUCGAGAGGAACACCUGCGGCGAAGGCGGGUUGCUGGGCUGACACUGACGCUGAAGCGCGAAAGCUAGGGGAGCGAACGGG